CCUUAACCUGCUAAAUAGCCCGGCUCGCUUUGGCGGGUCGCCGGCUUCUUAGAGGGACUAUCGGCUCAAGCCGAUGGAAGUUUGAGGCAAUAACAGGUCUGUGAUGCCCUUAGAUGUUCUGGGCUGCACGCGCGCUACACUGACAGAGCCAACGAGUUUUUUUCCUUGGCCGGAAGGUCUGGGUAAUCUUGUUAAACUCUGUCGUGCUGGGGAUAGAGCAUUGCAAUUAUUGCUCUUCAACGAGGAAUGCCUAGUAAGCGCAUGUCAUCAGCAUGCGUUGAUUACGUCCCUGCCCUUUGUACACACCGCCCGUCGCUACUACCGAUUGAAUGGCUCAGUGAGGCCUUCGGACUGGCUCCAGGAGGUCGGCAACGACCACCCAGAGCCGGAAAGUUGUUCAAACUUGGUCAUUUAGAGGAAGUAAAAGUCG
rnacentral:rRNA from 1 species